CGAGGAGGUAGGGCUUACGCUCGCGUUUGUCUGUUAUAUCUUGGUGGACGAGUCGUCGUGGUUGGGACUGAGGUGCCUACAACGUGCUUUUGAGUGGGUUUGUGUCUCCGUGUGCGCCGUGUGCGGAUAGCUUGCUAUGUAUGUGUGGUUGUGUGUGGAUUGAUGCGGGCUUUAACUUGUCGCCGUUCGGGACGUUGACGAAAUGGAGCGAUCCGACCCGUCUUGAAACACGGACCAAGGAGUCUAACAUGUGUGCAAGUGUUAGGGUGUGGAAACCCCAGCGCGAAAUGAAAGUGAAGGGCAGCGCAAGUUGUCUGAGGUAGGAAACGUUGUGGACUUCGGUCUGCGGCGUGGCACUAUCGACCGAUCAUGAACCUUCGUGGUGAAAGAUUUGAGUUUGAGCACAUAUGUUGGUACCCGAAAGAUGGUGAACUAUGCCUGAGUAGGGUGAAGCCAGGGGAAACUCUGGUGGAAGCUCGUAGCGAUUCUGACGUGCAAAUCGAUCGUCAAACUUGGGUAUAGGGGCGAAAGACUAAUCGAACCAUCUAGUAGCUGGUUCCCUCCGAAAUUUCCCUCAGGAUAGCAGCAACUUAUUUACGAUAGUUUUAUGAGGUAAAGCGAAUGAUUAGAGGAUUCGGGGAAGAAACUUCCUCGACCUAUUCUCAAACUUUAAAUCUGUAAGACCUGCAGGUUUCUUAAU
rnacentral:rRNA from 1 species